CUUCGAGGAAAUGAUGCCACAAAGAAAGAGUGGUGUAUUUGAUAAGCACCCGGAUGGAUUCACUGUGAGCUCCAGCUCCACGAUAACACAAUAUUACCUGGCAUGAACCGGUGUUUUCUUUUCUUUUAAAUGUAUUGUUCGUGAUAGAUAUGACGGAAAUGUUUUCAACUUUGUUCGGGCAAAAUGAUGCUCAGGGACCGCCCGGUUCAUCGCUUGGUUUCGGACCGGGAAAGCCUCCGCCUCCUCUGCCGCAGAAUCAGGUCUCUCUAACGGGGCAGAUGCCACCACAGCACGGGGAUGAAGGGCCUCCUCUGCGAAAGCCCGGAGCCAUGAAUGAACCUUUUUACUUAUUGCGGGAACUACCAGUGGGAACAGAAUUAACAGGCAACACCAACCUCAUCACACACUACAACCUGGAGCACGCCUACAACAAAUUCUGUGGGAAGAAGGUGAAAGAGAAGCUCAGUAAUUUUCUACCAGAGUUACCAGGUAUGAUUGACUGUCCAGGGACGCAGGACGGCAGCUCUUUGCGCUCUCUGAUUGACAAAACUCCAGUGUGUGGAAACUCAUUCAGCCCACUGACAGGCGCUUUACUCACAGGCUUCAGACUACAUACAGGACCGCUUCCAGAACAGUACAGACUGAUGCAUAUACAGCCUCCAAAAAAGAAGAGCAAACACAAGCACAAACACCAUCGAACACAGGACCCACUGCCACAAGAAACUCCUUCAGACUCUGAUCCCAAGAAAAAGAAGAAGAAAAGGGAUGAUGAUCCUGACCGCAAGAAAAAGAAGAAAGACAAGAAGAAGAAGAAGGUAGACCGAGAUCCUUGAAAUAAGGGGAACACUGCCACAUAGUGGCUGAUGCGGUCAAUGGCAUCUAAUCUGCCACAGGACAAUCAGUGGUCGAUUUAGGUAACCGCCACAGUCCUGACCAUCCAGGCCUCGCUGGAUCACAACCCAACAGCAACAGCCUCAGAUAGACCAGGGCCUACUGUGUGCAAGCCUGUGUUUAAAUGUGUGACUUUGCAUUUUGUAAGUGUGUGUGUGCGUGCGUGAGUGUGUGUUUUACACAUAAUUCUAUUAUUGAGAGCAUGUUUAAUAAGCGAGGGCAUGAGUUGAAGGAUGUGAGUGGUUGUGUGAUGUAUGCAAGUGUGUAAAAAAAAAAAAAAAAA